rnacentral:tRNA from 1 species
CUUACUAUAGUUUAGAGUAAAACAUUGAUUUGCAAAGUCAAAAAUAGAAAAAUCUUAGUGAGU